GACGAACGCUGGCGGCGUGCUUAACACAUGCAAGUCGAACGAUGAAGCUGGAGCUUGCUCCGGUGGAUUAGUGGCGAACGGGUGAGUAACACGUGAGCAAUCUGCCCUUGACUCUGGGAUAACUGCGGGAAACUGUAGCUAAUACCGGAUAUGAGGCUCGAAGGCAUCUUCGGGUCUGGAAAGAAUUUCGGUCAAGGAUGAGCUCGCGGCCUAUCAGCUUGUUGGUGAGGUAAUGGCUCACCAAGGCGACGACGGGUAGCCGGCCUGAGAGGGUGACCGGCCACACUGGGACGGAGGAACGGCCCAGACUCCUACGGGAGGCAGCAGUGGGGAAUAUUGCACAAUGGGCGAAAGCCUGAUGCAGCAACGCCGCGUGAGGGAUGAAGGCCUUCGGGUUGUAAACCUCUUUUAGCAGGGAAGAAGCGAAAGUGACGGUACCUGCAGAAAAAGCACCGGCUAACUACGUGCCAGCCGCCGCGGUAA
rnacentral:rRNA from 1 species